AACGAACGCUGGCGGCAUGCUUAACACAUGCAAGUCGAACGAGACCUUCGGGUCUAGUGGCGCACGGGUGCGUAACGCGUGGGAAUCUGCCCUUUGCUACGGAAUAACUCAGAGAAAUUUGUUCUAAUACCGUAUAAUGUCGAAAGACCAAAGAUUUAUCGGCAAAGGAGGAGCCCGCGUAGGAUUAGCUAGUUGGUGAGGUAAGGCUCACCAAGGCGACGAUCCUUAGCUGGUCUGAGAGGAUGAUCAGCCACACUGGGACUGUGACACGGCCCAGACUCCUACGGGAGGCAGCAGUGGGGAAUAUUGGACAAUGGGCGAAAGCCUGAUCCAGCAAUGCCGCUUGAGUGAUGAAGGCCUGAGGGUUGUAAAGCUCUUUUACCAGGGACGAUAAUGACAGUACCUGGAGAAUAAGCUCCGGCUAACUCCGUGCCAGCAGCCGCCGUAACAC
rnacentral:rRNA from 1 species